GAGAGGAGGAGGAGGAGAGAGGAAGAGCAGGAAACAGACAGCUGCACAAUCAGUAAGCAGAGGCAGGGUCCAUCACAGGGGAAGCUGAGCCAGGGAGCCAAGCUGAGAAAGCACAACCUGCCACAUUGACUUAACGGAUCAAUCCACACCUCGCAGGUGCACCAGAUGGGUAUCACUUUGACUUUAAAAUUCUAGGCUUUAUCUGCCAGAGUUGGUUUAUAUUUGAAAAACAAAGCAAUAAUUAAAUAUAUAAUAUUAAAUAGAUAAAUAAGGCAACCUUGAUGCAGUAUCCAAGUAUUCAGAAAUAACAAGAGGGUGACUAUUUCAAUUGAUGAAUCAUCCAUCCAAUGAAUAACAAACUCUUGAAGGAAAACAUACCCAAAGACAUUCACUACUGCCAUACUGUUGCCACUUUAUCUACACUGUUCACUUCACUUUUUACUUCUUACUUUCACUUCUAACUUUUUUGCUAUUUUGUAUACUUUGCUCAUUUUGGUUUCAUUUUUGUAUCUGUAUUUUUUAUUGUUUAUUUAAUUUAUUGUACUUACAUUGUGCACUGCCUAGGAGUUUGACACAACAACAUUUUACUAUACCUACUUCUGUGUUGUGAGUAAGUAUGAUAUACUGCCUAAACAGCCUCUCAUACAUACAUGUAUAUGUGACAAAUCUCUUGCACAGGGGAUGCACUUUAUUAGUAAGUUCUACAGUGAUUGCAUUUGCUCCUUUACUAGACUGCCCUUCUAUACAUUUAGUCUAAUAGAAUAGUAAGUUGUAUCAACAUAAAUACAUUUAAAUGAACAUUUGUUGUCCUUGAUUUUUAUAUGUUACUUAAAGAAGAACAAUAUUCAAAAUCACUUGAAAACAGGAUUUAUUGAGUCAGAAAGUAUUGUUUGGCUCAGGACAAGUGAAUGUUACUACGGACAACUCUGUAUGACAACUGUAUGUAAUUUGAUUGAUAUCUGCACUAAAUAUGAUGAAACUGUUCAGCUUUCUAAACUGUCUGCAUAUACACAUUCUAACAAUCUCUACAUCCAAACUGCUGACAGUCAAUGCUGGUUUCUUGUAAGCAUAACGAUCACAUCCUAACCUUAACCACGUGCUUAUUAUCUUAAUCAUGACAAUGGAGGUCCGCUAACCUUAGUGGAGUCAUCAUUUAAACCCAAAACCUAACCAAACCUUAACUAUAGCUGUGUAAAAAUCAGAAAAUGGUUAUACAACAGUGUUUAUUAACCGUUCAGUCAGACAACUCACGUUUGAAAUGUUUAUUAGAACAGCAGAACAUUGUGUUUGGCAGCCAGACUCCGACCUCAUCACUCCCCGCAGUAUAGGUUUACAUGAGAUAUUGGGGAGUGAUGAUAAAGAAUCUUCCCCCUGGCUACUGCAGGUGGAUGCUGGGUUGGUGGUGGGGCUAACAGCGGGCAGCGAUACAGGUGCAGGGCAGCAGCGGGAUUGACAAAGCAGAGAUGGGGAAAUUGUGCACCUUAAAUAUGCCGCCAAAUGGUGUGUGUUUGGUAAAUGAUACGGGGAGUGAGGCAUGUCACGUGUGUGUACGCAAUGCAGCUCGAGUUGGCUGCCUGAACUAGCUCGCAGGCGUUGCCCCAUUUUUGAAAGUACUGACAAAUGAUAUUGUUGUGCUGAUUAGGGUGUCAGAACAGAAAAUGCUUCACUGUGUUGUUCUGAAGGCUAGUUACAAAACUGACCAGAUUAAUCUGAAACCUAAACUUGAACACUUUGAAGCUUUCAAAUACCUAAAAUUAUGAUUUCAACUCAUAGUUGCUUUUGAUCCUCAGGUGUAGUGAACCACUGGUUUAGAAGUCCAAGGUUUUCUUGCGGCUGAAAUCAAGAUGCUGUUUUUUAAUUUCACCAAAUUCUGAACAAAUAAAGCCAGCUUUAUUUAUUCCAGCAAUGACUCCUGCAACAACAGUUCUUUGAAUUGAAUGCUUUUCUAAACUGUCCUCGACCCCUUUACCACAUUCAUAAUUGACAAAGGGACAUGGGUGGUCUCUUUACUUGGGUGGAAAUGUGUUUCUGUUUGGUCUUGAACUCAUAGUCAAACUGAAGUGCUAGGAUACCUUUGGAAACAUCCUGUAGGCAGUUAUAAACUGCUAUUUUGUUACUAUUUAGUUCUUCUUUACGUCAGUGAGGUUCCUUGGGAGUGAAUCUUUUUAGGUGAUAUGCAAGGCACAUCUUGCCACUGACAUAUAGGGAAUUGGAUUUCCCAGCAGAGCCAGGGGCUGCAUGUGCUUGACUGCACCCUUCUGGCACCACCCAUCACUCUUUUGUAGCUGGAGACCUCCUCUGCCCAUCAUCCUCUCCUUCUUGCCACUGUAUCUGGCCUGAUUUUAAAAGAUGAAGUUUACCCCGGGGACAGCCCACCCUGCUGGGCAGAAAACGCCUCCCUCUGAGACUGUAAGGAACCACGACUUCUGGUUCCAUCUGGUCGAAACCUUUUCUCAUUUUCCAUGGAGAAGUGGAGCAGCAAUACAGAUUGCCGUACACUUUAAUAGAUUGGUUUGAGGAGCAUAAAAUAUGGAACUGUCAUUUGAUUGCUUCUAAUUUGUUCUUGGUUUCUCAUUUCUCACUUGUAAUUCGUUUCACUCCAGUUACACUGUCAUCCCUUUCCUCAAUCUGUUCUUCUUAUUUUUCAAAGUAUGAACUCGACAUCACGUUUUCCUUUUUUAAUCAUAACUGUAUCACUCUCUCUCUCUCUUUUUUCUCACUCACUCUCUCAGUUGUGGUAAUAAUUCAUCUUUUUAUGCUUUUUAGACUGUGGAUUGUAAGGCUCAUGCUGUGCCAAACAGCAGUGCAAUUGGAGAGGGAAAUAAAAAUAGCUUAGCAUGUCAGCAGGGGUUUAUGAUGGCCUCUUUUCCUCAGAGAACUCAUAUUACGUCCUACCCACAUCUUAUACACCAGACUAAUGCAGCAAAGCCUGCAAAGCUAGUUCAGGAUGACAACUUAAGUCAUACCAAGUAGAUGUUGUUUCAGCAUAUUGAAAACAUUUCUCUCUGUGAGUGUUUCAACCUUCUCGGUACAGCUUGCUAUAAAGGCUUCACCCUAUUCCUUCAUUCAAAAAAGACAAUAGCACAUAGCUCUACAGUAUGCAGCUACAUAUAUUGAUGUUAGUCAGAUCACAGCCAUUUUGGUGUUUCCUCUGGUACAGUACAUGCAAACCAUGGUAAGCUCCAGUCCAGCCCAGACAAUGGUGGUAAUGUCCCCCCAUCCUUACCUAGAAAACAACCAUAUGGGUCGAUUAUGCAACUAGCUGACAAUUAUUUUCUAGUUAGGCUUUGACCUCUCGUAGCUGAGGGAGAGGUGACAAAGUAUAAGACAAAAUCCCAUGUUAAACACUUGGGGUGGUGGAUGAGUCAAACAAACACAGGACUUUCCCUAAAGAGACUGGGGUUCAUGUCCUGUGUGAAACCAAAAGUCAGCUGUCAUUUUGAAAUGACCUUAGUCCAGGAUGCGAUGACAUACGUUACGUCACAUUACGUCCUCAUGUACGUAGUUUUUUGUGACCCUAACCCUAACCCUCAUAUUAAGACAUCCCCUGAUGUUUUACUAACACUAACUAUUUGGUUGCCUAAACAUAACUAGUUCCGUUUCACAUUUACGAUGUGUUUAAAAAAAGUGCCCACUACGUUUAAAAGAAAAGUCACAUGUUUACAGUUACAUGAUUAAACCGCCACCAUGUGGCAGUAAAUAGAACGGCCAUAUGUGUCAUUGAAAUUGACCUUGAUAAUGUUGUUUAGGUAUGAGGAUGUGUUUGGUAAUGCACCUGAAGCUGCCAAAAUCAUCAGAGGAAGAAGAAUAAUGUUUGCUCUUUAACCGUUUAUUUACAUUUCAGCUAGCUAGCUAACUAUCCAUAAACUAACACAAACACAUCAGCCAUUCGUAUAGAUGAACUACAAGCGAAAACACAUUAAUAUUACGUUUUAUCGUCUUUACUGGCACUCACUAAUGCCAGUCCCUCACACAUAGCCUACAGACCAGGGCUCUCUGACUCAAACACAUUAUACUGUGGUUGCACAAAUCAAAGAUCAGAUUAACACAGCAAGUGUAGAACUCUCGGACACCUUUUUAUCCCUGUUGCUUUAAUGACAAAGGGAGAAUAAUCUGAUUUCAGUGUAAUUUCAAUGUUACAUUAACAGCAGUUUUUAAGGGUCUGUUAUCAAGGGAUAGAUCCUGUAAGUGACUCUGUCCAAAGCACACUUACUGCCAUAGUUACACUUCAGAUGAGUAAAGAAAGAAAUCACAAAUCAUAAUUUAAACCAUACGGCUACAUUGUAUCGAGGUGGUCACUCAAAACAUUUCUCUCUGGGCCAAAAGUUUAGGUAGAUUGUCAUCUCUUUAAGCUGUAACUUGUUCCAGCACAACAUCAUGUAAUGAAGAGGGUCACCCUGUUUGGCUUCAAUAUAAUGUUUUGCCACAGAAACAGAUUAGCAUGGGAAUUACUUUUGUACACAAUUGUAUUAUGCCAUUAUGCAUUGUGCCAUACUGUAAGUGGUUGUUGUGUAUUUAGUUGGAUGGACCAACUAAUCACUUGGAUUUAAUAAUGACUUUUCAUUUAAAGCUCUUCCUCCAGGCUGCUUUAGAGUCAUACACCCAACCAUAACCAUAUUCAGAGUGCAAGGUAAGCUUGAGGGAGCCCAUUACGAGAUUAAACCAAGUAUUUUCCUAAUAGGGCCUUAAACUUUGUUUUCUUUGUGUGCCUACAUUUGAACUUUGUGUACAGAGUUGGUUCUUUAAGAUGUUGUGUUUUUAGAAUGAGAGUUGAUGUUAUGUUUGCCUGUAUUCUUUUGAUAAAAAAGUGUGUGCUGUGUAUUAUUGUUCACUGCAGUAACAGAAGCUGGCACCUCUCCUCCACACCUGGGGAUGCGUAUUCUCUCUAAAGGGAGGAGGAUAGGAUAGGAUAUUGUGGUGCUUUGAUGAAGGCUUUUGUCGAAAAGCAUGGGUAUAAAAAAAUAAAAUGGUAACCUGA